CCCAGACCAGGGAGGAGCCUGCAACCGAGGUAUGUGCCCUUGACCAGAAUCCUUUGGUCCGCAGGCCAACGUUCUAUCCACUGAGCCAAACCACUAAGGCGGUAGCUCCCUUCUCUGUAGGAGCCCAGGGUGGGUGCCGGUUGUGGUUCACACUGACCAGCAUAAGCAGGUCAUUGCCUUCCUACAGAAGCCAUAAGACUCGGCACCUGCUGAAGCUUUCGGAGCACUUACCUUGCCUUACUUAUUGUGAGACAGUGAACUCCAGAAAUUCAGCCUUCCCCACAAACUGGGAAGUCUUCAAAUCCAGGCCAGCCCUCAAUAGCAAGCACAUUUAGAAGCUGAGCAGUAGGUGCUGGUUUGUCUAAGGUUAAAUUAGAAAAGUAAGAUUUAUUUGCACAUAGUCUCAGCUUAAAACAACUUAUUUAAUGAUUUCCUCUUGGAUUUAUAUAAGUUUCAAAUGCUUAUUUUUAGCAAAAGGAUAAAAAACUUAAUGGAGGAUCUUUUUAAGUAGUGUUUUAAAGUCACCUUGGUUUAGUGAGAAGCCAACAAAAUUUUACCCUAACAGGCUUGACACUUGGAAUAACUGGAUUACAAGUUACUAACUUGUUUGGCAAAAAGCAAAACACUUCUCUCUGGAGUCUGCAUUUUAUAGCUGGCAUACCAUGCCUCUUAAAGUGAAUUUUCUGAAUACAUAAUAAAUCAAAUGAAUAAAAUUCUGAAAGUCCAAAACGGAAUACAACAACAUCUCCUUGUCCCUGUCCUCACGAUGUAAAAGGAUGGGGCUCUUGAUGCUUUAGAGGAGUCACAGUGUCUUCCUUUGCAAACAUAAGGUUUUCUAGAGGAAGAAGGAAAGGAGCCUCACUUUCCCAGGUGCUUAGCCGAGAUCUAACAGGAAGCACCACCUCUGGUUUAUGUUACUCUCAUUACAUCAUCAGAUAUGUGAUAUGGGCUCAGAGCAGAUGUUUGCAUCUAACUCAGCCUGGCCCUCUCUAAUAAGCUCAUUUUUAAAUGACAGGUCUGUACAGAGGCUGGGUGUCGGGGUAAAACCUCAGCUGGAUUUUUCAGUGUAUGGGAGGGAGCUCAGCUGUUAAAACCACCAUGGCAACUGCCUCAAGCCUGGUGAGACGCUGUGUCUUGGCUCUGUGGAUUGUCCCUAUGGUAGCUACGUAUUCCCAGCUCUGGAACCUCCUCUUAGCAAGCCUGGGCGAUCUCAGAAACGUUAUAGGACAAUCAGGGGCCUCUACCACAGGGCUAUUUACCUGAAAACCACCAUGUUCCUUAAAACCAUUCCCAAGGAAGAGGAUGCCUCUACUGGACAUCAGGGGAACUUACCUAGGGGUUCGGAGUACUCAGGCUGUCAAGAAAACCAAAACUUGACCUCUAGUAGGGGAGCUCUAUGAUGAACUGUCAGGCUUGCAAGGGGACUACUGCAAUUUCUCAGAUGAAUAAGAAAUUAUAGCUUGUUUGGCUACAAAACAAUAUAUACUAGUGUUGAGAUUCGUGCCCCUAGACUUUCUAAUCAAAUGUCUAGUCCACUCCUAGAACAGAAACCCUCAAAGUCCAAGAGUGGGUUUGUUGUUUUUUUUUUGUACAAUGGUUUAUACAAAUUCAACAAAGGUAAAACCGAGUCAGGAAGGUCUAGGAAAACACCACCAAACAACAAUGGCACUUAUGAAUGCAUAUCUUUACAACUAGGGAACAGCCAUGUUAUAAACCUGAAACGAGAACUCUGCUCACACUUCAAAGGAGAAAGAAGAGGAAAAGAAAGGCUACGUUGGGUCAUUUACUUAUUGACUCACCGUAUAAAUUAGAUCUAUGUAGAAUCCAAGAGCUCAUGCUGGAGCAAACCCUCCUGAGUGCAAAGGUCGAAGUUCAAUUUUAAAAUUUUUGAGAAAAGGGUGAAUUCUAUACAGGGGAACCUUGGCAAAGUGUCUUACUUCCAUUAUAUUUUACAUAUAUGCACAACAUGCUUAUGUAACUUCUUAAUGCCCAAAGCAGGCUCUUCGCUUCCAGGUAAACAUGCUUUAAACCGGAAGGCUCAGACUGCUCUGCCAGGUCUGGGCAAAUGUAUAGAUGGAUUAUUUGGGUUGAUGAAGUCCAGGGAAAGUUGGCAAUCAUAAAACAAUAAAAACACUGAUAUGCGUUCAAACCUUGCAUAAAUAACUUUUAAACAAUUUGUACAAAAAUAAUUCCUCAUAAUGUAAGAUGUAACAAAACCAAACAAAAUAUGUCAAGACGGCAGAUGUGUUGUGUGGUCCACUUAAUGUUGACACCAAAACCCCCAGAGUUGCAAGGAAUGAGGUGUCCAGAACAAAACACCAUCACAAAAAAAAAAAAAAAAAAAAAAUUCCUAAGCUCAUGCUUCAGUAAGAGAAUUUCUCCCAAGUUCAUCCUCCUCUCCAACAGGAAUGUCUUCUCGGUAAAGGCCGCCUUAGAAAUGGUCCAGAAAGCAGUGCAGUUACUCUUCAUAAUAACCCAAUCCGGCUCACUCAUCCCCAAAAUGGGUGGUGGAACGGCAUUGCCUUGGCAAGACUUGCAAAAUGGAAUCGUUCCGUGGUCUGUUAUUCCAAGUUCCAAAUUGAAAAUAAAAACCCUAGUUUCUG